GAGUUUCAGGAAGGGAAAUUCAUGGAGGAAGUUCACCUCUGGAAGGGUGAGGAGCAAUAAAUAGGGUUGUAGAUGAGCAUGAGAGUGUGGAGCAGAGUUGGCGAGUGCAAGUCGAGCCCAUCAACCUGGACAGCUGUCUCCGUGCUUUCACCAGUGAGGAAGAGCUAGGGGAAGAUGAGAUAUACUACUGUUCCAAGUGUAAGACCCACUGCUUUAGCAACAAAGAAGCUGGAUCUCUGGAGGCUUCCACCCUUCCUGAUUAUUCACCUUAAGCGAUUUCAAUUUGUAAAUGAUCAGUGGAUAAAAUCACAGAAAAUUGUCAAAUUUCCUCGGGAAAGUUUUGAUCCGAGUGCUUUUUUGGUACCACGAGACCCGGCUCUCUGCCAGCAUCAACCACUCACACCCCAGGGGGAUGAGCUCUCCAAGCCCAGGAUUCUGGCAAGAGAGGUGAAGAAAGUGGAUGUGCAGAGUUUGGCUGGGGAAGAGGACAUGCUCCUGAGCAAAAGCCCAUCCUCACUCAGCGCUAACAUCAGCAGCAG
rnacentral:lncRNA from 1 species